rnacentral:rRNA from 1 species
GAUGAACGCUGGCGGCGUGCCUAAUACAUGCAAGUCGAGCGAACAGACGAGGAGCUUGCUCCUCUGACGUUAGCGGCGGACGGGUGAGUAACACGUGGAUAACCUACCUAUAAGACUGGGAUAACUUCGGGAAACCGGAGCUAAUACCGGAUAAUAUCUUGAACCGCAUGGUUCAAUAGUGAAAGACGGUUUUGCUGUCACUUAUAGAUGGAUCCGCGCCGCAUUAGCUAGUUGGUAAGGUAACUGCUUACCAAGGCGACGAUGCGUAGCCGACCUGAGAGGGUGAUCGGCCACACUGGAACUGAGACACGGUCCAGACUCCUACGGGAGGCAGCAGUAGGGAAUCUUCCGCAAUGGGCGAAAGCCUGACGGAGCAACGCCGCGUGAGUGAUGAAGGUCUUCGGAUCGUAAAACUCUGUUAUUAGGGAAGAACAAAUGUGUAAGUAACUAUGCACGUCUUGACGGUACCUAAUCAGAAAGCCACGGCUAACUACGUG